CGCAGGCUCGGUGGAGAGAUCCGGGCGGCGGGGAGGGUCAGCGCUCCUACGCUCCCAGAGCGGAGACUAAGUGGACUGGAAAGCAAAAACCUCAGAACGUGACAUUACAGAUAAGGAGUGGAGGGCACUCCUGUAAGGCCAACUAGCCCACGUAUAAUUGCCCAGAAAAGAAUAUACACAGAUACAGCUUCCAAGAAACCACGAUCCACCUUCCCUCAAGUUCUUAAUCUGCACCUGGCUUCUGGUUUGAAUGAGUGCUUGAUUUAUUUGCAGCCACUAGGAAUCUGGAGUGCAGAUGCAAAUGGAAGUUUUGCUGUGUUUCAAGUCCUAUAUUGGGAAAGAGGAGCCUGCCAACCUGCCCUGCCACUACUGGGGUCAAACUACCACCUCCUGCUGAUUCUGCAUCUUGGUUCUCCUUAACACACAGCAGCAGAUGUUACAGCAAGUAACUUUCCUGAUUGAGUAAGAGAUGAAUACCAUGGAAGAAGUUUCACUCCAGGAUUGAAAUGUUAUCCCACCAUAGAAAAUGGGUGAGAGAAAGUCAUAGAAGACAGACUUGGAGAGCAUGAGAGUUUGAUAUGCAACCACUUAGGCCAAGAAAGUUAUAAUCCUUACAUUCUGUAGGGAGAGCCAGAAUUUGUGAGCAUAACUUUUACAGGAGGUGGAUCUGAAGGUGAAGAUGUGUGCUGCCUAAUCCCCAGGACGAACUCCUCAUGGUGGCUUUCAGGCAUGUACUUGUGUGUUCUUACCAUUGGAGGAGCUUGGGACCUCCAUGUUGCUGAAGAUGACUGUAGUACUCUUCAGGACAGUGCUGGAUUUUAUUAUGAACAUGACUUCUCUGCUCCAGUGUAGAAUCCUCAACCUACCAGCACAGUUCCUCCACCCCUUGGACUCCUGGGAGGCAUUGUCAUGGCCUUAUCAUCAUCUGGACUUAUGCAGGACACUAUUGUGGCAUCCAGGCCUUUAGAUGAAUAUUCUGGGUCUUUAGUGUUAUGGACACAUUUCUUGCACUUUUUUGUGUUAAACUCUGGGUGACAAUCAUAAUAUUAUAAAUUCUGUGGCCUGAUUUUAAUUUUUCAGCUCACAACCCCUGACUACAACAAGUACCUCAAGCAAUCUGUGGCAAAUUGUGAGCUCCAAAGGGCUUUGGUGGCUCUAUCCCUAUGACACUUCUGGUGGUUAUAGAUACCAUGGCUUCUCUCUUAUGCCCAUUUUGCUCCUUUCUUUCAGCUUUACUUAGAUAAUCCACUUUCCUGGCUUCUUCAAACUUCUAGGGUCUCCAUUGCACCUUUGGCUUCACCCUCACAGCUUCACUCACUGCUUUUUCAGGGGCACACUGCCUGGAAUCCUAGGCCUUCUGAAAUUGAGAUGGAAACCUUAACUCUGCUAUGCUUGCAUUCUGUGUGCACCUGAACCCAACACCAUGUGGAAGAUGUCAGUGUCUGCUACCAACUGGAACAGUAUUCAGGCUUUCUUCUCUUUUGGCUAUAGGAGUUGAGAAUUUGGAUUGCUGGACACUGUGAACCCAAUUCUAAGGAACACAGUUUCUAUGCUGCCAUCAUUCUUGAACAUGGUACAGCUGCUACCAUUCUGGGACAUGGUGUUCUGUGACUUUCUUCUCAAAGCAAAGUCUUUCACUGUUGAAUUUUGAGACUUCAAAGGGUGAAUACUAAUUGCUUCUUGUGAUUCCCUCAGGUCAUUUUUCUAUUCUCCUGUUCCUCCUCAGCAAUUGAGAUCUCCUCAGCUCUGUCUUUGUAGUCCACAGCUUUGCUGGGGCUUCUUUUCUGCCCAAACUCACAACAUUUUAAAUCAUCCUGCUGGCCUCUUUGCUCUUGAUUCUCAACAUAAGUCUGGCUCAAAGCCCCCAAUGAGAGCCAUGCCACUACCUCAACAUUUGACUACUUGAAAUUCUUUCUGACAUGUUAAUUAGCUGGCUACCCUUUUUCUCUGUUUUGGGCAAAGUCUCUGGACACAGGCAAAAUGCAGACAAACUAUCUGCCAACGUUGUCAUAGCACACGUUGUCUAGACUUCAACAGCUAAUGCAGUCCUUCGUCCCAACAGAAACUUCCUGAAUUGGUCUUUGCUGGCGGGAUUUCUAUCAGCUAUCUUGCCUUCUGACCUCUGACAAGAAUCUUCCAUAUAGAAUGGCCUAAGGCAUCCCUGCUCUAUUAUUUUACCCUACAUCUUCAAACCUUUACAAACUCUUUCCAUGAGCCAUUUUCAAGAUCUCUUGAUACACAUAGCCAGAUAUAGUCACAGUAACAUCACUUCUCUGGUACUAAAUUCUGUCAUUGUUACUUUUCUCUAAUUACUGAGACAAAACACCCAGUACCAAAAAUUAAGGAAGGAAAGCUUAUUUAGUUCAUAAUUUGUGGAUGUUUCAGUCCAUAACACCUGGUUCCAAAGUUGGGUGGCAUGGCACAGGGGCAACCAUUCAAGGUGGCAGUAGACAGCAAAGCAACAAGAGCAAAAGGUGUGAGUAUGUGAAGUCAAAUCUCUUUUUCUCCUUUAUAUUGUAUGCAGGUUACUUGCCCACACUAUCUCCAUACCCUCCUUUUGCACAGGCUCAGGACGCUUACAAAGUAAAGACCCUGAACCCCCUGAUAAGUCACUUAGUUAAGUUUCUAAAUUUCUUAAAUUGACACAAUUUAUCUACCAAGGCACAUGCAAUGGUGAGAACAGUGCCUCAAAGUGUUCAUGGUAACUGCAGGUGUCAAUGGAAGAAACUGCUCAGUUAUUACAAAAAGUCUUUCUCUGUGUCUCUCAGGUACACAAAAAGGAAAAACACCUGCCUCUUUAAGUCUUAAACAGCAUUUUAAAAAUAUACAUGUACAUACUACAUAUACAUAUAGUUGUGUGAGAAAAUCUACAAGCUUUUCUGGGUUCUGCUCUGACUCCAGACUCCCAGUGAUGAGAUCAAGAUAGGCAUGAUGGGAAAAAAUUGUGUCCUUACUUCUGUAUGGUGGACCACGAUGUGGUAGUCUCUUAUUUAAGUGACACUUUUGUUACUUUAUCACUUAAAUACAUUAAGACACAGAUUCCAUGGCUGCAAUGGAAAAUAUUAUACCUCUCUCUUUUAAAUUGGAGGGUUGGGGAGACAGAAAAUGGCGGCUUGCUAGGGGAACAGGCGGAGAGUCUCUCUGGAGAAAUCAUAUUAGAAGCUAGAAUAUGACAACAUGGAGAGGGCCAGACAAAUGGAUAACGAUUCUUAUUAACCAAGACAGUGCAGCUGGAGGAUUUAAAGUUGUGCGAGACUGUGAAGGCUGAAAAUGGGAGGCUGCAAAUCCCGCACCUUUAAAUCAACAAUUUGACCUGUGGACCCAACAGGAAAAGCUGUGUUGGCUUUUGGUGACUGCUGGAAACUGAGACCUGAGAUCCUGAGAAGCAGCCAGGACUGCCCCACUGCACCAGAGGAGAUGGUGAAAGGCUCUCGACCUCCAAAGCCGAACGCUGAGCACAUUUCUGACCGUUGCGCGGUGCCGGGAGUGCACGCUGCGCAGAUUUCUGACCCUUCCACGCUGUGCCAGGAGUGCACGCCACGCAGGUUUCUGACCAUUCCGCCCUGUACUGGGAGUGCACGCUGCACGGAUUUCUGACCCUUCCGCGCUGUACCAGGAAUGCACACUGCGUGGAUUUCUGACCCUUCUGCACUGUGCCAGGAGCGUGGGAAAGGUGGGCGGCGUGGACCCUGGUGAGUACUGGGAACCCCGCGGCUGCUGGGGUUGGCCAGAGAACGUCUUGGAACUGGGCAGUGCCCGCCACCACAGGGACAUCAAUAACACAGAGUCUGGUGGCAGCCAUCUUACAGUUUGGCAGAACCUACAGCUCGGUGGCAUCACUGAGUCCCCUUGUAGGGAGGGCUGGUGGAAGGCAUCUUGAAAUUGGGCAGAGCCUGAGUACAUGUUGGCUUCAGUGUCAUACAGAGAACUAGUGGGAGACAUCUUGAAUUUGGGCAGUUCUGCUGUUCUGGUGCUCCUGUCACAGAGAGGUCUGGAAGAGAAAAGCUGGGAUUUGGGCAGGACCCUGUGCCAUAGUAACAUUAGUCAGCUGCUUCUGGUACAAAGAGAACCGGCAGGAGCUACUGGGGCUAAACCAGGCCUCUGCUUGGGGCCCAACAAGCAGAUACAAAAUAGUCACAACUCAGUGACAUCCAGAAAGAACAGCCUAAUUUAUCGGUUGACUGGCGCAGAGGCUGGAGACUAGCCUGUAUCGCCCCUGCAUCCCAGCCUACCCCAGAUAACAGCAAAUUGGGGAGGACAGCAAAAACUCAAGUCAGCACGCUUUUGAAAGGCCCUAAGCAAUUUGGAGAGGGCCAGAGAACCCCAGGACAGUCUGAAAGAAACCAGAAACAUGACAAGAGAUAAAAAAAAAAAAAUCUCCAGCUGCCCAACAUGAGAAAAUAAGCCCAGGAGAAGUAAACACCAAAGAGAACAAGCACAGUAACCAUCCAUUGCUCGACACAGCAUCAGCCAAAAUUAAAAAGUACCUUCAUGAUCUCAUAGAUGAAUUUAAAGCUGUACUCCUGAUUCAAGUGAGACAAGAUAUAAAGAGAUUAAUUAAAGAAAUGACAAGCCCUGCCCAAGAGAACACAGAUGGAAGAACUGAGGAAAUCAGAAAAGAAAGAGAAACUUCUGAAGAAGAAUUUAAACAUAACUUAGAAUGCAUGAAACAGAUCCAAAGAGAAUACUAGGAAACUAAAAACUCCAUUGAACACUGGCAAAAUGCCUUGAAAGAAACUAAAGACAGCCUUCUGAAACUUGAAGAGAGAUUUAUGGCAUAUGAUUGUGAAAGAAAAAGCCUCUUAAAAAUAACAAGGAACCAGAAAGAAGCAAUUCAAAAACUAGAAGAUGACAAAAAGAUACAUAACUUAAGAAUAAAGAAUGUGAGUAAGGAAGCAGGAGCAACCAAAAAUGAAAUACAAAGAAUAUUCACAGAUAUAUUAAAGCAAAAUUUCCCAUAUAUAGCAAAAAGAAAUGAUAUCCAGAUAAAAGAGGCAUACAGAACACCAGCUACCUACAACCAAAACAGAUCUGUGCCUAGACAUAUAAUAAUCAAGAUUCCAGAAAUCCACCAAAAGAACAGAAUAUUAAAAGCAGCCAGAGAAAAGAUGCAGAUUACCUACAAUGGGAAAACUAUCAAAAUAACAUCAGACUUAUCAACACAAACUCUUAAGUCAAGAAGGGAGUGGGGAGAAAUAUUCCAAGUCCUGAAAGAAAAUGAUAUGCAACCGAAGCUCAUAUACCCAUCAAAACUCUCUCUCAAAAUUAAUGGAAAAAUAAGAUAUUUUCAAGGCAAGGAGGAAUGGUGGGAGUUCAUGGCCACCAAUCCAACCCUACAGAGAGUGCUGAAGGACAUUACAGAGAAAGAGAGGAAGAGAUACCAGGAUUCCAGCAACAGUGGCAGAGAGGCCUCAGUGAACGGGGCAGACAGUGGAAUGAGGGAAUAAGGUGGACAAAUUAUAGCAGAAAAAUGGAGUAGCAGACAUGAGGCAGAGAUGGUAAGCUAUAGUCUUUAGUAUAGACAGUGCUGAAACUCUAUAUAAAAAAAGAAAAAGGCAGAGGUCAUUGUUAAUGGUGUAUAAGGAUUUAAAAGACAUAGUAGUCUUAUUGACAUAUUUAGUUUGAAUUUAAUAUAUACUGGUCUGUCCACUCAUGUCAGAUUUGAGGCCACAGACAUCUUGACCCCAAAAUAGCAGGUUAUACCAUGGUAACUAUCCUUACUUUCCUAUUAACUUAAACUGAAAUCCUACAAUACUUACAUCAUCUUACUAUGACUGAUCUUAAUUGAAUCUGAAUCAUAAGACUAUGGGUUGGCCAUGGCUGAUUUUAUUUGAAUUUGGUAUGCUUGUUAGUAUCAACCCUAAAAGUAGAGGCAACUACUCUGAGGAUGACAAGAUGUAAAGGAUAUCCAUACUGGUAUUAAUUAGUAACAGCUCUCAAAUCCUACAAUGCUGUCAAAGUUAAGUUUUUAUAAAAAUAGGUGAUACUAUAUUUAACUAUAAUAAGCCGGUGUGGUGGUCAAAUCUUUUGAAAAUAACAAGAGAAAACAUAGUAACUAUGGAAGAUCAUCUAUAUUGUGGUCUUAUAUGUCUUAUCCAUUGCAUGUUUUUUCUAGGAAAUUGUUUUGCUGUCUUGCUAUGACUUGGUAUUCCCUGUAAUACAGAGAGGAUAGAUAUAUAUGUAGAAAUUCACACAUGGGUUUUUUUUUUCUUUUUAAUUAUUUACGGGAACAGAUUAUAUAAUGCAAGAUGUAAUGAACAGAUACUCUGAGGAAGAGACACUAAGAAACCCGAGGCUAAUUUUGUAGCAUUAUGAUAGAAAUUUUACCAAUACUAAUGUUCGCUGAUUAGAAUGACAUUGGACUGGUUUCUUGAGUUCAAUUUCAGCAUAUGUAGAGAUGGGGACAGCUAUCACGAAGAGAAUGAGAGAUGCGAUGGUAGUUACUAUUGUCUUCCCUUUCCUAAAAAGCGUCCAGUGAUUUGAUUAGUUCUAUAAUAUACAAUAAGUAUAUAAAGUGGGUGAAGAUGGGGACAACUAUUUGUAAGAAACUAGAGACAGUUAGAUAGACAAUGAAGAUCUCCAGUGGGCUUGCUGCGAAAUCUGUAUUUCUUUAAAUUGUUUUUUUAACUGCUUUGUUCUGUUUUGAUAUGUUUAAUCUUACCCUCUUUGAGAUGUAAAACAAAUGUGUAGGACUGAUAACCAUAUUACUGAGCUCUUGUUCGAUCAUAGAGCAGAAGGGUUUGUAGUGUCACUUUAUGAAUGUCAUUCUAAAUACUUUAAUUCUAUAACAUGAACAGCUAUUUCUAAGAUGACAAUGUGUAACUUAUCAACCAGCAAUUUCUUACCGUUUGUUUUUCUGUAAGUUUGUAUUAUUUCUACCCUUUUUUUUUUAUCUCCAUGUAUUCUUUUGUUUCCUUUUCUUUAAAUAAAAAAAAUAAAUUGGAGGGCUGACUUUAUCUCAGGGAUAGUAUUCUUUAGAAAUAUUGCUACAAAAGGUUUUUAUGCAUACUGAACAAAUGUUCCCCAUUCAUACCCACGAUUAUGUAAUAACUUCCUAGAUUUGGUUGUAGAGAAGCUUCUUAGAUUUGGGUUUAAAUCUGGUGGACUUUUGCCCUACAGAUUUAGCCUGUUUAAAUUCACGUCUCAUCUCUUUUUCUUACAGACUUCUGCAAGUACAGCACAUGAAAUAAACUGUUUUAAGGGCAUUACAAAGCAAGUGUCAGUGUAAACUGUUUUUGGAAAGAGAUUUGUCAGUAUAGAAAUUUGGUAUACUAGGCAGGAUUUUAGGACAGAUUUUGGAGAGAAGUACAACAAUACAGGAAGCUUAUGGGAAGUUUAUUUUAGACCUGCACCAGAUUCACCAAUCAUGCUUACUUGGAAGAAACUGCAUGGGCAUUGUGA